rnacentral:rRNA from 1 species
ACGAACGCUGGCGGCGUGCCUAAUACAUGCAAGUAGAACGCUGAAGAGAGGAGCUUGCUCUUCUUGGAUGAGUUGCGAACGGGUGAGUAACGCGUAGGUAACCUGCCUGGUAGCGGGGGAUAACUAUUGGAAACGAUAGCUAAUACCGCAUAAAAUUGAUUAUUGCAUGAUAAUUAAUUGAAAGAUGCAAUUGCAUCACUACCAGAUGGACCUGCGUUGUAUUAGCUAGUUGGUGAGGUAACGGCUCACCAAGGCGACGAUACAUAGCCGACCUGAGAGGGUGAUCGGCCACACUGGGACCGAGACACGGCCCAGACUCCUACGGGAGGCGGCAGUAGGGAAUCUUCGGCAAUGGGGGGAACCCUGACCGAGCAACGCCGCGUGAGUGAAGAAGGUUUUCGGAUCGUAAAGCUCUGUUGUAAGAGAAGAACGGGUGUGAGAGUGGAAAGUUCACACUGUGACGGUAUCUUACCAGAAAGGGACGGCUAACUACGUGCCAGCAGCCGCGGUAAUACGUAGGCCCCGAGCGUUGUCCGGAUUUAUUGGGCGUAAAGCGAGCGCAGGCGGUUAGAUAAGUCUGAAGUUAAAGGCUGUGGCUUAACCAUAGUAUGCUUUGGAAACUGUUUAACUUGAGUGCAGAAGGGGAGAGUGGAAUUCCAUGUGUAGCGGUGAAAUGCGUAGAUAUAUGGAGGAACACCGGUGGCGAAAGCGGCUCUCUGGUCUGUAACUGACGCUGAGGCUCGAAAGCGUGGGGAGCAAACAGGAUUAGAUACCCUGGUAGUCCACGCCGUAAACGAUGAGUGCUAGGUGUUAGGCCCUUUCCGGGGCUUAGUGCCGCAGCUAACGCAUUAAGCACUCCGCCUGGGGAGUACGACCGCAAGGUUGAAACUCAAAGGAAUUGACGGGGGCCCGCACAAGCGGUGGAGCAUGUGGUUUAAUUCGAAGCAACGCGAAGAACCUUACCAGGUCUUGACAUCCCUCUGACCGCUCUAGAGAUAGAGUUUUCCUUCGGGACAGAGGUGACAGGUGGUGCAUGGUUGUCGUCAGCUCGUGUCGUGAGAUGUUGGGUUAAGUCCCGCAACGAGCGCAACCCCUAUUGUUAGUUGCCAUCAUUCAGUUGGGCACUCUAGCGAGACUGCCGGUAAUAAACCGGAGGAAGGUGGGGAUGACGUCAAAUCAUCAUGCCCCUUAUGACCUGGGCUACACACGUGCUACAAUGGCUGGUACAACGAGUCGCAAGCCGGUGACGGCAAGCUAAUCUCUGAAAGCCAGUCUCAGUUCGGAUUGUAGGCUGCAACUCGCCUACAUGAAGUCGGAAUCGCUAGUAAUCGCGGAUCAGCACGCCGCGGUGAAUACGUUCCCGGGCCUUGUACACACCGCCCGUCACACCACGAGAGUUUGUAACACCCGAAGUCGGUGAGGUAACCGUAAGGAGCCAGCCGCCUAAGGUGGGAUAGAUGAAAGG